UACGUAGGUGGCGAGCGUUGUCCGGAAUUACUGGGUGUAAAGGGCGCGUAGGCGGGUGCCUAAGUCGGGCGUGAAAUGCCGAGGCUCAACCUCGGAACUGCGUUUGAAACUGAGCAUCUUGAGUGUCGGAGAGGGAAGCGGAAUUCCUAGUGUAGCGGUGAAAUGCGUAGAUAUUAGGAGGAACACCAGUGGCGAAGGCGGCUUUCUGGACGAUAACUGACGCUGAGGCGCGAAAGCGUGGGGAGCAAACAGG
rnacentral:rRNA from 1 species